rnacentral:tRNA from 2 species
GCGUCCUUAAUUCAGUGGUAGAAACGCAUUACGCGGAGGGCGCUGGUUCGAUUCCAGCAGGGCGCA